UGUCUGGUAUAUAUACUUCAUCUGAUGG
rnacentral:sRNA from 1 species